GGCGGCGUAGCUCAGUUGGCUAGAGCAUUCGGUUCAUACCCGGACGGUCAGCGGUUCGAAUCCACUCGCCGCUACCA
rnacentral:tRNA from 1 species